rnacentral:lncRNA from 10 species
CUCCACAUAGCAGCUGCUCUAUUUCUUCCCUUUUCACUUUCUCUUUCCCACCAUUUGCCUGAAGCUCCUCAUCCCCUUCCUUGUGCCUCCUCAGAAUUCUACCAGUGCACCUCAUUCAGACAUUCAUCAAGAAAAAGGCCAGCUGAAGGCAGACAGCCAACAAAACUCAGUCGUUAGCCACAGCCCUGGCUGUCCUCGUCCAUCAAGCCUGCCCAUUGUGAGCUUCCAUUCAUCUUACCUGUCUGUUAUGGAAGAGUGAAGUGGAAAAGGCAUGGAGGACUCAGAAGACCUGCUACCGAGAAGAGCCCCAUUGCAAUCAGAAGAUUAUUUAUGGAAAAAAGCAAAAUGGAGAUAUUUAAAAGACGGAGAGAGACAGCAGAAAGCUGCUUAAGAAAUUGCUUUGAGUCCACAGGAGGGAAGCACAAAGGAGAUGGGAUAAUAGUGUUAUACACUACAUGUAUUCAUUUCCUGGGGCUCUGCUGGAUCGAGGUAUGUGUUC